rfam:Lactobacillus hayakitensis DSM 18933 = JCM 14209 strain DSM 18933 NODE_219, whole genome shotgun sequence.
UAGGACGCCUGCCUGUCACGCAGGAGACCACCGGUUCGAAUCCGGUAUGGACCG